AUGGAAAGGAAUCAGACCUCUUACGAUUGCUGCAUCUUGAAGGCACGAAAGCUGAUAGGGGCCUUUUCAGAUGUUCAGCUGGUAUCAUCUGGGUCAGGAACACUGAGACCUGGAGAGAACCUCCAUCUGGUCUGCAAAGUGACAGGAUUCUCAAUCACUACCCAGGGUUAUGGUUGGAACUGGAUCCGUCAGGCACCUGGGAAAGGUCUGGAAUGGGUUGCGUACUUAUACCCAAAUGAUGGGAGCAAGUACUACGCCUCUUCUCUCCGAGGCCGUGUCACCGUUUCUGCAGACUCCUCCAAGAACCAGUUCUCCCUCCAGCUGAACUCCCUGACUGCUGCCGACUCUGCUGUGUAUUUCUGUGCCCGCGACUCACAGUGAAACAAAGUCCAUUGGGAACCUGGAGAGAACCUCCAUCUGGUCUGCACAGUGACAGGAUUCUCUAUCGCUACACAGAAUUCUGCUUGGAACUGGGCCCGUCAGACUCCUGGGAACGGUCUGGAAUGGGUUGGAAAAAUAAACUCACAUGCUGGGACGAAAUAUUACACUUCUUCUCUCCAGAGUCGUGCCACCAUUUCUGCAGACAUCUCCAAGAACCAGUUCUCCCUCCAGCUGAACUCCGUGACAGCUGCCAACUCGGCAAUUUAUUUCUGUGCCCGCGACUCACAGUGA